ACUUUGCCUUGUGAGCAACAGGAAGAUGUCCAUCUGCACACCUGGAAGAGGACCCUAGCCAGGAACUGAAUUGGCUGCCACCAUGAUCUUGGGCUUCCCAGCCUCCAGAACUGCUUUUUCUAUCUUCUGCUCUUUGCCACCUGUGAGGUCCCUGAAAAUGAAGGCCAAUACUACCCAGAGACUAAGGUGUCAGUAUGUUCUUCAAGCUGCUCUGCUCCUGGGCCCAAGCUAUUCUCCUGCCUCAGCCUUCCAAGAAGCUGAAACUACAAGAACACAAGACUGUACCUGGCUUGCAAACACCAUUGCUAAUAAGAAGAUAUUGUAAGACUGAUACCUAAGAGAUAAGAGACAUGGAUCCCUGAGGUCGGUCCCCAAUACGACAAGACAAUUUGAUAUCAUAAUAGAACACUGCAGAAACAAUGCUGAGUGAAGAAGAGUAGAAAUGGGAAGACUUGGUUGAGCGGAAACUGAGUUCUUGAAAAGAGGAGAUGCUUGAUGAGGAUGGAGUCUUGCUCUGUCGCCCAGCCUGGAGUGCAGCAGCACGAUCUCAGCUCACUGCAUCCUCCGUCUCCCAGGUUGAAGGGAUUCUCUUGUCUCAGCCUCCCGAACAACUGGGACUAAAGGCAUGGAUCCCUGAGGUCUGCCCCAGUACUAUAAGACAAUUUGAUGUAAGAAAACACAGCAGAUAUAAUACUGAGUGAAGAAGAGUAUAAAUGAGAAGAUUGGUUGUGCAGAUACUGAGUUCAUGAAAAGAGGAGAUGAUUGAUGAGGCCAGGUGCGGUGACUCAUGCCUGUAAUCCCUGCACUUUGGGAGGCUGCGGCGGGCGGAUCACCUGAGGUCAGGAGUUCGAGACCAGCCUGGGAGACAGAGCAUGGAAACCUAAGGUCUGUACCCAAAACUACAGGACUAUUUGACAUCAUAAUAAAACACUGCAGAUAUGAUGCUGAGUAAGAGUAGAAAUGGGAAGACUUGGUUGUGCAGUAACUGAGUUCUUGAAAAGAGGAGAUGCUUGAUGAGGGCAUGGAUCACUAAGGUCUGUUCCCAAUACAAGAAGACUCUUUGACAUCAUAAUAAAAUACUGCAGAUACGAUGCUGAGUGAAAAAGAGUAGAAAUGGGAAGACUUGGUUGUGCAGAAACUGAGUUCUUAAAGAGAGGAGAUACUUUAUGAGGCCCGACUCUUAUUCUGUCACCCAGGCUGGAGUGCACUGGAGCAAUCCUGGCUGGCCAAUACUGAGUUCUUGAAAACAGGAGAUGCUUGAUGAGGUUGCAGGGCUUUGACUCCUGGGUACAUGUAUCUCAUCUGAAAGGGAAUCCUGACGCCUACUGAAUCUUAAUAGUCAAUAUUGAUAUCUGGCAUCAAAUUCAAGUUGACCAAAGUUCCAUCUUCAGACCUGGGAGAAGAUGACAGUCAAAAUGAACUGCUUUCAUGUGACACUGGACCAGGCCUAUAUACAAAGGCAUAAGUAAUCAUUGAAUAAUGUUUCAUCUAUCUAUCUUAAUAUAAUUUGUUCUAUGCCUUACUAGAUAAAUGUUUAGUUACCUGUGAGUUUUCUUUUCCUGCCAUUGUCAGAGCUAGGCAGGGCUUAAGUCCCUUUCGUUUAAACAUUACUAACUCUAUACAUAGCUUGCAAAAUUGGAUAAAACAACAAAGGUUACUUUUUCACUCUCUCUCUGCUUAAUAUCUCUGAAAUUUAAAACUAUUCAGAAUCCCACUGGGCCCGAUCUAUUUUCAAUGCUAAUGCUCCACUGCUAAAACUAUAUAAGCAUCUUCCCUCUAGGCUCAGGCACUAUCUUGGAAGAGGUAAAUGUGUAAGAUUGUAAAGGUUGAUUUUUGAGCAACAAAAUUAAUUUAGAUCUUCCAAAUAAAAAAUGGGCACACAGAUGCCCAAACAGUUGGCAAAAUAAGAUACUUUACCUCCUGGACCAGUAUGUGGACCUUUUUCAUCCAUCCCAACCAUAAUUUCCUCUUUCCUGUAGAAUUAAAAGAAAAUUGCAAAGAGGAUAUGAACUUUUCUGGUAAGAAAACCUCCUGGGUAUAGUGCUCCCAGUUAUGAGAUUUAUGCAGAUUGUUAUAUAAAGUUUUUUUAAAUCAAGCACCUUAGGACAAACUAUUAAAAAGACUGCUAAAAGCGUUGUGACACAACAAAAGUCUCUAAAUUCUGUAGCUUAAAAAGUUUUAACAAAGUACUUAUCUUUUGCAAGCUAAUUGCUACAAGUCUAUAACUAAAACAUGUAUUGACUGAUGUCUUAGGUCUCCCUAAAAUAUAUAAAACCAAGUUGUAAACCAAUCACCUUGGACACAUGUUCUCAGGACCUCUGGAGACUGUGCCUUGGGCCAUGGUC
ensembl:lncRNA FIRRE firre intergenic repeating RNA element